AUUGAACGCUGGCGGCAGGCCUAACACAUGCAAGUCGAGCGAGCGGCGGACGGGUGAGUAAUGUCUGGGAAACUGCCUGAUGGAGGGGGAUAACUACUGGAAACGGUAGCUAAUACCGCAUACCAUCAGAUGUGCCCAGAUGGGAUUAGCUAGUAGGUGGGGUAACGGCUCACCUAGGCGACUAUCCCUAGCUGGUCUGUGAGGAUGACCAGCCACACUGGAACUGAGACACGGUCCAGACUCCUACGGGAGGCAGCAGUGGGGAAUAUUGCACAAUGGGCGCAAGCCUGAUGCAGCCAUGCCGCGUGUGGGAAGAAGGCCUUCGGGUUGUAAAGCACUUUCAGCGGGGAGGCGUUACCCGCAGAAGAAGCACCGGCUAACUCCGUGCCAGCAGCCGCGGUAAUUU
rnacentral:rRNA from 1 species